rnacentral:rRNA from 1 species
CCUGACGACCAUAGCGAGUUGGUCCCACUCCUUCCCAUCCCGAACAGGACAGUGAAACGACUUUGCGCCGAUGAUAGUGAGGGUUCCCGUGUGAAAGUAGGUCAUCGUCAGG